CAGCCAGUUGUUUCACUCUACAGUGCCAAAACAAAGCUUGGAUUGUGGUCAGAGUAAAGACUCAGACCUGGAUACGUUCUCAGACCAGAGACUGUGAAAAUUCCAAAAGCCUUUCAGCAGUUUUAAAAAA